rnacentral:rRNA from 1 species
GACGUAGGGUGCAAGCGUUGUCCGGAUUUAUUGGGCGUAAAGAGCUCGUAGGCGGUUUGUCGCGUCUGCUGUGAAAACCCGAGGCUCAACCUCGGGCCUGCAGUGGGUACGGGCAAACUAGAGUGUUGCAGGGGAGACUGGAAUUCCUGGUGUAGCGGUGAAAUGCGCAGAUAUCAGGAGGAACACCGGUGGCGAAAGGCGGGGUCUCUGGGGCAACAACUGA